rnacentral:rRNA from 1 species
GACGAACGCUGGCGGCGUGCUUAACACAUGCAAGUCGAACGGAAAGGCCCUGCUUUUGUGGGGUGCUCGAGUGGCGAACGGGUGAGUAACACGUGAGUAACCUGCCCUUGACUUUGGGAUAACUUCAGGAAACUGGGGCUAAUACCGGAUAGGAGCUCCUGCUGCAUGGUGGGGGUUGGAAAGUUUCGGCGGUUGGGGAUGGACUCGCGGCUUAUCAGCUUGUUGGUGGGGUAGUGGCUUACCAAGGCUUUGACGGGUAGCCGGCCUGAGAGGGUGACCGGCCACAUUGGGACUGAGAUACGGCCCAGACUCCUACGGGAGGCAGCAGUGCGGAAUAUUGCACAAUGGGCGGAAGCCUGAUGCAGCAACGCCGCGUGCGGGAUGACGGCCUUCGGGUGGUAAACCGCUUUCGCCUGUGACGAAGCGUGAGUGACGGUAAUGGGUAAAGAAGCACCGGCUAACUACGUG